rnacentral:rRNA from 1 species
AUGAUUUCAGCUCCUUUGGCCAUGCAUGCUAGUGGACUGCCUCUCCUUCUCCUAGAUGAACAAGGAAGAUCAGGCAAGAAGCCAGAUUUCAUCCUGGUCAGCAUGCAAACUGGUCUCAGGCACCUUAAAUUGUUCACUGCGCUGCGUGUAUGGCUACUCAUAAUGGCUCAACAGUGGGGAGAAAAGCAGAAUGAUGCCAUACACAGAGAGACUGCAGUUGUGUUUGUUGGGUUAUGUUUGUUUAUGUCAGCAAAACGCAAGCUGACGCGCCGGGCUUUGACACCAAUAUAUAUACAUGUGUAUAUACAGAUACAGAUACAGGUUUGCAGGAGGCGACCAGGUAGCCUGCCCGAACAGUGCCAGGUAAAGGAUGGGAGUUGCAGGGCGCUGCAGGGAUUGUACCCUGCCUGCACAGCCGACGCCGUUCAGUCAUCGUCACCGAUCCGAAAAAUACGGUGA